rnacentral:tRNA from 1 species
AGAAACUUAAGUUACCACUAAACUAAGAACCUUCAAAGUUCUAAACAGGGACUAAACCCCUAGUUUCUG